UACGAAGGGGGCUAGCGUUGCUCGGAAUUACUGGGCGUAAAGCGCACGUAGGCGGCUUUCUAAGUCGGGGGUGAAAUCCUGGAGCUCAACUCCAGAACUGCCUUCGAUACUGGAGAGCUUGAGUCCGGGAGAGGUGAGUGGAACUGCGGGUGUAGAGGUGAAAUUCGUAGAUAUUCGCAAGAACACCAGUGGCGAAGGCGGCUCACUGGCCCGGUACUGACGCUGAGGUGCGAAAGCGUGGGGAGCAAACAGG
rnacentral:rRNA from 1 species